rnacentral:rRNA from 1 species
UAUUAUUCCCCUCGGUAGUAAUAACAAACCAAUAUGUAAUGGCGGUCUUUAUAAACUAGAGAAACUCGCUUUCUAAUCGUAAAUACCCGCUAAUUUUAACUUAGUUAAUCAGCCUAUAUACCGCCGUUUAUUAAAUAGAGCUUAACUUAAAAUAAAACUCAUAAUCUCCCAACACACAAAAAAUCAGGUCAAGGUGUAGCCAAUAACCAAGAAAAAGUAAGUUAUAUUAAAAACAAUUUAAGGAUUCAACAUAAAAAUGAAGAUAAAAAAGAAUUUAAACGUACGCACUAAUUAAAAACUAAUUCCGAAUAUCAUAUUAAAGAUGC